rnacentral:rRNA from 1 species
UACAGAGGCCUCAAGCGUUAGGCGGAAUCACUGGGCUUAAAGCGUGUGUAGGCGGGUCGUUAAGUACCUUGUGAAAUCCCACGGCUUAACUGUGGAACGGCUUGGUAUACUGGCGAUCUUGAGCCACUUAGGGGCUACCGGAACAGGUGGUGGAGCGGUGAAAUGCGUAGAUAUCAUCUGGAACGCCAAUGGUGAAAACAGGUAGCUGGGAGUGUGCUGACGCUGAGACACGAAAGCCAGGGGAGCGAACGGG